CACACGACUCUCGGCAAUGGAUAUCUCGGCUCUUGCAUCGAUGAAGAGCGCAGCGAAAUGCGAUACGUGGUGCGAAUUGCAGAAUCCCGUGAAC
rnacentral:rRNA from 1 species